rfam:Oryza meridionalis cultivar OR44 (W2112) chromosome 4, whole genome shotgun sequence.
AAUCCCACUAUCAAUGAAUGGAUUCACCCAUGAUAUGAUAUGGCUGUUCCACUUAGGAUAAGGACGUGGCAUCCUAUAAUUAUCAGCCAUUGCAAGAAAUUAAUAGGAUGCCACAUCAUCAUCCUAGGUGAAACAACCACGUCAUCUCACAGGUGAAUCCAUUCAUUGAUAAUGUGGUU